ACAAAGCUCUGAGGGGCCGAAACAAAAAUGUAGAUCAAAGUCCAACGAUCUUACUGGUUUAGAGCAGGUUUCCGAACAUCUGAUGGAUCAAAAUGCUCAAAAAUCCCCAUUUAUUUGAUGCUGCGGAGACUUGACUUUUUCAACACCAGUUCACUUGGCUCCAACGCCUCUUUUUCAGUUAUCUGCCUAUCUACCUGACUAUCUACCUAUCUAUCUAUCUACCUGCGCGAUAUCCGAUUGAUUGCUGAUGGAAUCACGAAUGCUAAAUCUGUCUAUCUGUCUAUCUCCUCCCUAUCUUUCAAC
rnacentral:sRNA from 1 species